rnacentral:rRNA from 1 species
UAAGCGGAGGAGAAGAAACUAACCAGGAUUUCCCUAGUAACGGCGAGCGAACCGGAAAGAGCCCAGCUUGAAAAUCGUGGUGCCUCGCACCUCGAAUUGUAGUCUGGAGAAGGUCCCUCUGCGACGCGCCGGGCCCAAGUUCCCUGGAAAGGGACGUCAUCGAGGGUGACAACCCCGUCCGCGCCCGGAACGCGUCGCUCCACGAGGACCUGUCUGCGAGUCGGGCUGUUUGGGAAUGCAGCCCUAAGCGGGAGGUAAAUUCCUUCCAAGGCUAAAUAUGGGCAAGAGACCGAUAGCGAACAAGUACCGCGAGGGAAAGAUGAAAAGGACUUUGAAAAGAGAGUUAAAAAGUGCUUGAAAUUGCUGGGAGGGAAGCGAAUGGAAGCUGCGGGUGCGCCCCGGUUGGAUGUGGAACGGCUUCGGCUGGUCCGCCGCUCAACGCGGGGCGCUGGUCAGCGUGGGCCACGGCGCCGGGACAAGAGCGGGGAUUCGUUUUCCGCCUAUGCCGGUGCGGUGGCCGAGGCACGAAGCGCGCGCCGCAAGGCGUGGGUUCGCCCAACUGCGCGCUCGGGACGCUGGCGUAUUGAGCUCUUCAUCCGACCCGUCUUGAAACACGGACCAAGGAGUCUAACAUGUAUGCGAGCCGGUGGGCGGCAAACCCAUUGAGGCGCAAGUAAACUGACAGGUGGGACCCCGACCGUGAGGGAGGGAGCACCAUCGACCGACCGUGAUCUUCUGUGAAAGGUUUGAGUGUGAGCAUACCUGUUGGGACCCGAAAGAUGGUGAACUAUGCCUGAGCAGGGCGAAGCCAGAGGAAACUCUGGUGGAGGCUCGUAGCGAUACUGACGUGCAAAUCGUUCGUCAGACUUGGGUAUAGGGGCGAAAGACUAAUCGAACCAUCUAGUAGCUGGUUCCCUCCGAAGUUUCCCUCAGGAUAGCUGGAGCUCGUGUACAAGUUUUAUCAGGUAAAGCGAAUGAUUAGAGGCAUCGGGGGUGUAACACCCUCGACCUAUUCUCAAACUUUAAAUAGGUAAGCCGCCGGGGUUGCUUGGUUGAACCCCGGCACAGAAUGAGAGCUCCAAGUGGGCCAU